UUUCGGAAGGUGAACCUGCGGAAGGAUCAUU
rnacentral:rRNA from 1 species